rnacentral:lncRNA from 1 species
ACACACAGUGUGGAAUGAAAAGAGUCAAACGGUCCUUUUCUGAAAGAAUAACGCUCACAUCAAUUUCAGAAAGGAAGGCAGACGCAAGCAGACCAAUGAAAAUGCAGAAGUCGUCAUCACUGGAAGAGAAAGAAAAGCCCUGCCUGGAGCCCUGUUCGCAAAGAGGAAGCAGCUGAAGGUAACAGUGUUCGUCAAUAAAAGGAACGCUGUCACCUUGACA